ACCUCUGGCUGCCUCUCUCUCCCCUCAAAGGUCAGAGCAGUGCCAAGGACAGAAGAGAGAGUAGAUCCAGCCUUGGCCCUGCUAGGCUGGGCAGCCUGGCAGGUAGAGUCAGCAGGGAUAGAGCUUGCUUUCCUGUUCACGAUCUUCAGCCAAGUUCAGGGAGGUCUGAAUACUGAGGCCUUCAUAGCCACUGCACCCCAGGUAGCUCAGGAGAACCUCCGAGCGCAGGAGUGCAAAGGCUGGCAUUCUUCAGGCUCUGAGGCUGUCCCUUCCGGUGGAGGUGAACUGCUUCUUAUUGAUGUGGACAAGACUGUGGAUGGAGACUGACAGGAUCCUGGCUUGGGGGCCUUCCGGCAGGGCUGGCUGCUGGGCUGGCAGGCUCUGGCGCUCCCCUUCCCCAGAACUGACUUUGUUCCUGGCAGCCAUGGUGGCUGCACUAACCACAUUCUGCCUCCACCUUUGCACUAAGAAAAGCAAAUAAGCAGACCACAGAACUGUUUGCAUUUGCCCCAGAUGCUCCCUGGCUGCGGGAAGAGAUAAAGUUUGCUGACCCCUAGAGAGGAAGUCAUGGCCCAUGGCUGGCAGAUGGAAGCCUCAGGACCUGAAGAUUUCUCAAAGAAAGGGACCUGCUGCUGACAGCAAUUAAUAUAUGUUCACAGCUUGCAGCUGAAGCCUGAUGAUGGCUGUAGGAGAAAGGACAUCACCCAGAUGACAUUUUGCCUCCAAAGCUCUGGGGACCAAUUGUGGAAGAACUGCAGGGAUAUUAUGUUAGAAUGUUCUUGUGUCUGGAUAGGAUGAGAACUGUCUUAUAACAAAGUGCAGCCCCCAUGUCUGAGGGCAUGUUUCCUGUGUUUAGGCACUUCCGAAGCAGGGAGCACCUUCAAGGGGCACUGGCCUUCCCAGAAACAGUGUUUGACCUGUGAUGAUGUCCUGGGGGAGGGGACCUAGGAAAAGACCUUAGCCUUUCCAUAAGGCACGAUUAUUCUCCUCUAUAGAGCCUCAAAAGUCAAGUCAAGUAGCAAGCACACUGUGCUCCAGUCUGUGGCCACAGACACACACAAGGACUGGAGCAAAACCAAACAUAGUGUAUCAUCACCGCUGAACCCCCAGGAGCCCCCAGAUGCUUUUGAACGUGAAAGGAGAAAGAAGCUGUCAGAGAUCAGGUUGAAUGUGGUGGGUUAGGUGUGCGGCAUUGCCUCUGGGUCCCUGCUUUGGUUUAAUUAAACUAAGUCUGGUGGUGAAUUGGUUCCCAAAUGUUCAUUGGUGGAUGGGCGGCAUCAGAAUUGUCUACAUCUUUUAAAAAACACGUACGCAAAACCUAUGCAUGUCUUCCUCUGAGAGUUUGAUUUUCAGCAGGCUUGGGGUGGAUUCCUACUUUUAAGAACUCCCCACGCCCGUCCUAAGUGAUUGUGAUUCCCAGUAAGUGAAUGCUGACAAAUUGAACCUUCCAGCAUGGACAUUUAUUUAUGAAAUAAAUGGACAUUAAUUUCACAGUCUUUCUAUGGAUUCGAGGUGGUGCUGGAUCCACAGGCUCACCUGGCCCCCUAGCUUUCUCUGCAGAAUCUGCCAGUGUGCCUUCAAUCCCAAAAGAAGUCGCUUUUCAUGUGCUGCUGGAGCUUUUGAUUGGCGGUGACUGAGAUGGGACUUUAAGUUCUCACCAGGAUGCAAAGUGGGGUUCCAACUUUACUGCUUUCUGAACCCUGCUGAUCUGUCCCCAACCAAGGCUUGAUUUUCUUCUGAAGCGCAGUAUUUUUAAACUGUGGUUGAAAUCUAUUCAUGGGCUAUAAAAUCAGUUGUUGAGGAUGUAACCAUUUUGAAUUAAUUUUUAAUUCAAAAAAUUAGACUAGAAAUUUUUAAUUUUAAUUCAAAAAAUAGACUAGAAAAAAAUCAGAGUGCAUCAUGUAUGGUAGGGAUAAGUGUAAUUCUUUCUGUAAAACUUGUUUUGGAGGGUA
rnacentral:lncRNA from 1 species